GACGAACGCUGGCGGCGUGCUUAACACAUGCAAGUCGAACGAGUGGCGAACGGGUGAGUAAUACGUGAGUAACCUGCCCUCUGUUUGGGAUAAGCCUUGGAAACGGGGUCUAAUACCGGCUAACGGGGGAUGUGCUCGCGGCCUAUUAGCUUGUUGGUGGGGUGAUGGCCUACCAAGGCGGUGACGGGUAGCGGGCCUGAGAGGGUGAACGGCGACAGUGGGACGGAGAUGCGGCCGAGGCUAGUAAGGGAGGGAGCAGUGGGGGAUAUGGGAGAAUGGGCGAAAGAGUGAUGCAGCGACGCCGCGUGGGGGAUGAAGGCUUUCGAGUUGUAAACCUAUUUAGCAAUCGAAGGGGUAGGUGGAGAAGAAGCGCCGGCUAACUACGUGCCAGCAGCCGCGGUAAUAC
rnacentral:rRNA from 1 species